rnacentral:misc_RNA from 1 species
GAAAUGCGAUAAGUAAUGUGAAUUGCAGAAUUCAGUGAAUCAUCUAAUCUUUGAACGCACCUUGCGCUCCUUGGUAUUCCUUGGAGCAUGCCUGUUUGAGUAUCAUGAAAUCUUCAAAGUAAAUCUAUUGUUAACUCAAUUGGUUUCUACUUUGGUAUUGGAGGUCUUUGCAGCUUCACACCUGCUCCUCUUUGUUCAUUAGCUGGAUCUCAGUGUUAUGCUUGGUUCCACUCGGCGUGAUAAGUUAUCUAUCGCUGAGGACACUGUAAAAGGUGGCCAAGGUAAAUGCAGAUGAACCGCUUCUAAUAGUCCAUUGACUUGGACAAUACUUUUAUGAUCUGAUCUCAAAUCAGGUAGGACUACCCGCUGAACUUAAGC